rnacentral:tRNA from 2 species
CGCGGAGUAGAGCAGUUGGUAGCUCGUCGGGCUCAUAACCCGGAGGUCGGAGGUUCGAGUCCUCCCUCCGCUA